CAGAUGGCGACCGGCGCACGGUGAGUAACACGUAUCAACCUGCCGCUUACUCGGGAUAGCCUUCGAAAGAAAGAUUAAUACCGAUGGUAUAAAGAGUUCGCAUGUUCUCUUUAUUAAAGAAUUUCGGUAAGCGAUGGGGAUGCGUUCCAUUAGAUAGUUGGCGGGGUAACGGCCCACCAAGUCUACGAUGGAUAGGGUUCUGAGAGGAAGGUCCCCCACAUUGGAACUGAGACACGGUCCAAACUCCUACGGGAGGCAGCAGUGAGGAAUAUUGGUCAAUGGACGAGAGUCUGAACCAGCCAAGUAGCGUGAAGGAUGACUGCCCUAUGGGUUGUAAACUUCUUUUAUAAGGGAAUAAAGUGAGGGACGUGUCCCUUUUUGUAUGUACCUUAUGAAUAAGGAUCGGCUAACUCCGUGCCAGCAGCUGC
rnacentral:rRNA from 1 species